AUUGAACGCUGGCGGCAGGCCUAACACAUGCAAGUCGAGCGGAAACGAUCCUAGCUUGCUAGGAGGCGUCGAGCGGCGGACGGGUGAGUAACGCGUGAGAAUCUACCCAUGAGUGGGGGACAACCCGGGGAAACUCGGGCUAAUACCGCAUACGCCCUACGGGGUAAAGCAGGGGACCUUCGGGCCUUGCGCUGAUGGAUGAGCUCGCGUCGGAUUAGCUUGUUGGUGAGGUAAAGGCUCACCAAGGCGACGAUCCGUAGCUGGUCUGAGAGGAUGAUCAGCCACACCGGGACUGAGACAACGGCCCGGACUCCCUACGGGAGGCAGCAGUCGGGGAAUCUUGGACAAUGGGGGCAACCCUGAUCCAGCCAUGCCGCGUGUGUGAAGAAGGCCUUCGGGUUGUAAAGCACUUUCAGCAGGGAGGAAGGCUUACCCCUAAUACGGGUGAGUACUUGACGUUACCUGCAGAAGAAGCACCGGCUAAUUUCGUG
rnacentral:rRNA from 1 species